rnacentral:rRNA from 1 species
AGGACAUUAUUAACUGAAUACAUAGGUUAACAAAGCGAACCGAGGGAACUGAAACAUCUAAGUACCUCGAGGAAAAGAAAUCAAAUGAGAUUCUGCAAGUAGCGGCGAGCGAACGUGGAAGAGCCUUCACGAGCUAGUUAAUAGGUUAGCCAAAAGGUCUGGAAAGGCCUGCCAUAGAGGGUGAUAGCCCCGUCGGCGAAAAUCUGUUAAUGAGACUAAGCGUGAAACUAAGUAGGGCGGGACACGAGAAAUCCUGUUUGAAGAUGGGGGGACCAUCCUCCAAGGCUAAAUACUCUCGACUGACCGAUAGUGAACCAGUACCGUGAGGGAAAGGCGAAAAGAACCCCGGUGAGGGGAGUGAAAUAGAACCUGAAACCGUCUGCGUACAAGCAGUAGGAGCUCCGCACUUAAAUUACUUUGUAGAGCAGUUUAAUCAAACUGAAAAAUAAAGAAGACUAUUAAAAUUAGUUAAGCUCACAGCCAUAGAAUUUUUGACAAGGCGCCGUGAAGAUGAGCAACCGGAGUGUAUAGUUAUACAUGAGGAUUGCGAGUUGAGCGGUAACGUAGACAAAAAUUCAAGUGCGAAGAGUGUUAUUUAGAUAGUACACAGAGUAAUUAAAGUGCGGAGUGACUGCGUACCUUUUGUAUAAUGGGUCAGCGAGUGACUUUUAGUGGCAAGCUUAACCAAUAGGGUAGGCGAAGGGAAACCGAGUCUGAUAAGGGCGUUUGAGUCGCUAGGAGUCGACCCGAAACCGAGCGAGCUAGCCAUGUCCAGGGUGAAGCUUGGGUAACACUAAGUGGAGGCCCGAACCCACAUCUGUUGCAAAAGAUGGGGAUGAGGUGUGGCUAGGAGUGAAAGGCUAAACAAGCUCGGAGAUAGCUGGUUCUCCUCGAAAGCUAUUGAGGUAGCGCCUCGUGUUAACGACUAGGGGGUAGAGCACUGUUUCGGUAAGGGGGUCAUCCCGACUUACUGAGCCGAUGCAAACUUCGAAUACCUAGGACGUGAUGCACGGGAGACACACGGCGGGUGCUAACGUCCGUCGUGAAAAGGGAAACAACCCAGAUCACCUGCUAAAGUCCCAAAAGUUAGGUUAAGUGUGAAACGUAGUGGAAAGGUUUAAACAGCCAGGAGGUUGGCUUAGAAGCAGCCAUCCUUUAAAGAAAGCGUAAUAGCUCACUGGUCGAAUCGGUCUGCGCGGAAGAAUGAACGGGGCUCAAACCUAAUACUGAAGCAGUGAAUGUCAUUGGUUUACGAAUCAAUGAUGUGGUAGAGGAGCGUUCGGUAAGCCGUUGAAGGUGACCUGUAAAGGUUGCUGGAGGUAUCCGAAGUGCGAAUGCUGACAUGAGUAACGAUAAGGCGAGUGAAAACCUCGCCCGCCGAAAGUCCCAGGAUUCCUGCGCAACGGUAAUCGACGCAGGGUGAGUCGGCCCCUAAGGCGAGGCGGAAACGCGUAGUCGAUGGGAAACAGGUUAAAAUUCCUGUACUUUUAUAGGCUGUGAUGGGAGGACGAAGAAGGCUAGAUUAGCCGGAGACUGGUAGUUCCGGUUUAAACGUGUAGAGAGAAUCUCUAGGAAAAUCCGGAGGUUCGUUAAUCUCGAGACGUGACGACGAGUUGUUAACUUCGGUUAACGACGAAGUAAUUGAUGCCCUGCUUCCAGGAAAACUCUCUAAACUUCAGGUCUAUAGGAACCGUACCGCAAACCGACACAGGUGGACAGGUAGAGAAUACUAAGGCGAUGAGACAACUUGGGUGAAGGAACUAGGCAAAUUGGCACCGUAACUUCGGGAGAAGGUGCACCUUUUUUGGUGAGUGGGUUUACCCCAUAAGCUGAGGGAGGUUGAAAUAAUCAGGUGGUUGCGACUGUUUACCAAAAACACAGCACUCUGCAAACUCGAAAGAGGAAGUAUAGGGUGUGACGCCUGCCCGGUGCCGGAAGGUUAAUUGAAGUGGUUAACUUGCGCUGAGAUGGCUUUUGACAAUGAAUUAGAGAGAAGAAUAAUUCGAAGAGAAAGAUCAAAAGUCAUGUCAGCGCAGGUGAAGCUGCGGAUCGAAGCCCCGGUAAACGGCGGCCGUAACUAUAACGGUCCUAAGGUAGCGAAAUUCCUUGUCGGGUAAGUUCCGACCUGCACGAAUGGCGUAACGACAGCCACACUGUCUCCACCCAAGGCUCAGUGAAAUUGAAAUCGCUGUGAAGAUGCAGCGUACCCGCGGCAAGACGGAAAGACCCCGUGCACCUUUACUACAGCUUUACACUGGACUUUGAAUUUAACUGUGUAGAAUAGGUGGGAGGCGUUGAAGCGAGUUCGCUAGAAUUCGUGGAGCCGACCGGUGAAAUACCACCCUGUUAAAGUUGAAGUUCUAACCUAGGGCCCUGAACGGGCUUGGGGACAGUGUAUGGUGGGUAGUUUGACUGGGGCGGUCUCCUCCUAAAGAGUAACGGAGGAGCACGAAGGUACCCUCAGCGCGGUCGGACAUCGCGCAUUGCGUGUAAUGGCACAAGGGUGCUUGACUGCGAGACAAACACGUCGAGCAGGUGCGAAAGCAGGUCAUAGUGAUCCGGUGGUUCCGAAUGGAAGGGCCAUCGCUUAACGAAUAAAAGGUACGCCGGGGAUAACAGGCUGAUACCGCCCAAGAGUUCAUAUCGACGGCGGUGUUUGGCACCUCGAUGUCGGCUCAUCACAUCCUGGGGCUGAAGCAGGUCCCAAGGGUAUGGCUGUUCGCCAUUUAAAGUGGUACGCGAGCUGGGUUCAGAACGUCGUGAGACAGUUCGGUCCCUAUCUGCCGUGGGCGCUGGAGAUUUGAGAGGAGCUACGCC